AAAUGAAUUGACGGGGACCCGCACAAGCGGUGGAGCAUGUGGUUUAAUUCGACGCAACGCGAAGAACCUUACCAGGCCUUGACAUCCCACUGAACGCCAGAGUAACGUCUGGUUUCCGAAAGGACAGAGGAGACAGGUGGUGCAUGGUUGUCGUCAGCUCGUGUCGUGAGAUGUUGGGUUAAGUCCCGCAACGAGCGCAACCCUUACCCUUAGUAGCCAGCGCGUAGAGGCGGGCACUCUAGGGGGACUGCCGGGGACAACCCGGAGGAAGGCGGGGACGACGUCAAAUCAUCAUGCCCUUUAUGGUCUGGGCUACACACGUGCUACAAUGGCGGCGACAAAGGGAGGCAAACCCGCGAGGGGGAGCGAAUCCCAAAAAAGCCGUCCCAGUUCGGAUUGCAGUCUGCAACUCGAGUGCAUGAAGCUGGAAUCGCUAGUAAUCGCGAAUCAGAAUGUCGCGGUGAAUACGUUCCCGGGUCUUGUACACACCGCCCGU
rnacentral:rRNA from 1 species